GCACGCGGUGGACGGUGAGAGGCUUCAGGAGGGACCCAUCUGGGGAAUUGAUGUGGGGGAGAGUGCUGGGGUCGUGACUGUGGGGGAAGACAGAGGGUCAAUUUGGCAAAUUUUGAUCGUGGCGGUGAGACAUGGCCUACAUUUAUUAUAAGAUUUUUGUUAAAUUUAGGUCUCAAAGUAAGCCUUCCGGGAUGGUGCAUUCUAUUGAUUUUUCAUGGUGCUAUUUACCGGUGCGAUCCUGGUUAUUUUUCCGGCAACUCUCAAGACACAAUUCAGAAUAAACUCUCAGAACAGAAUUUGCAGAAAAAGACAGAAUAUAAAUGGCUGCAAUGGAGUAGUAAACCAAGAAAAAUUAGACGAAUAGGAGAAGUAAUGGAACUCAAAACGUCAUUACUCAUAAACCAUCCUUACAUCCAUUCAUUCCUGAAAUCCUAAGAAAACUGGAAAAUAUUCAAAAGGUAGUCACUCAAAAACUGGCUAAUAUGAGAGGCCAGUACUCUCGCAAAAUAUAACACUCAAUCAAUAGAAAUUUUUUCACAAAACUCUUGCUUCUCCACUCUGCCUCAACACCCUCCUUUUAGACAUGCUUUUGAAACAGAAUUUGUGGUCCUCUCUAUUCAAAGUUUGCCUCUUGUCAAAUAUUUGGGCUGCUGUGGAUUCUUCUGGACCAUUCUUCCCUCCAGUUACCAUUCCCUUGCCCUCCCUUACCCUCAAUCCUGCCAAUGCUGGGUUCCUAUCAUCUUCCAUCAAGAAAACACACUUGUCUGUAAGAACUUUUGCCUCUCUGUGUUGUACAACUUUCGAAGUGUGUGUAUGAAAUUGGACAUUGUACUAAAUACAUGUGAAAUCUCUGCUGUUUCCUGCAUUAGUUGUUAGAAUGUUUCUGCUACUACCCUCCUGUUGCUGUUCUUAGGUGCCAAAAUAUGCUGCAAGGAUUGCAGUGAAGUGUAAAAUGAAUAAUGAGACAUGGCCUAGGGACAUUUAUACAAUGCUUCUGAUGAUAAUAUUGAAAUUUAUAUGUACCCACUACCUACUAAAGUUCGGUAUGAUUUAGGUGCUACUGAAUUACUAAAAAUAUUGAAAAAGAUGCGUACCUACUAAAGUCUUGUAUGCUCUUAUUACUUGUGGGGGGGGAAGCUCCAGUAUGGUUUUAUUAUAUCAACUAAGAACGAUUGCUGCUUUCCUUUGAUGUUAUUUUGGGUCAUACAGUGAGCUGGAACAUUAGAAAUAGAAAUAUUUGGUUGGUCAAUGAUGUUUUCCUUUUAGUGACGGCAAGAGAAGAGGCGUUCUAUAGUGAAAUCCAAGGAAUUCUAUGGUAGCAUAUUUUGUUACUUUUCUCAAGUCUAAUCGUUAUAUCUUCAUUGAAACUUUGAAAGCCCUGCUGAUGUGAUGCCUUAAUGGGUUGCCUUUUACAGCCCAUUUAAUGCGUUAAAUGGGGAUGUCCAACUGAUUGAUUUACUUGAUGAUUUUUAAAGCCUGAAUCAGCUUUCUUAAUGUGACCUAGGAUGACAGGUAUCUCUUGUUAGCUUGAAUCUUAAAGCAAAUUUAUUAAUUCUCUAGUAUUUGUAGGCUGGAGGCUCUUCAGGUACACUAUUUGUUUGGGAUCUACGAUGGCAGCAACAACCACUCGUUCUCUCUGGUGUUGGGACUGGAGAUGCUGCUAUACCUUCAAUAUCUGAAAGUGAGGUUUGGCAGGUUCAGUAUGGUUGCUAUACAAAAUCUUCAAACAUUUCAUCUUCACGAGUAUUACCUGCCAUGUUUGUGCUCAGAGGAUGGUAUCCUUGCUGUGGUUGAGCAAGGUGAAGAAUCCACCAAGCUUAUGGCUGAACCUUGUGCAAUCAACAGUUUUGACAUUGACCAGCGGAACCCCUCGAUUGUA